CCUACGGGAGGCAGCAGUGAGGAAUAUUGGUCAAUGGACGAGAGUCUGAACCAGCCAAGUAGCGUGAAGGAUGACUGCCCUAUGGGUUGUAAACUUCUUUUAUAAAGGAAUAAAACGAGGCACGUGUGCCUUUUUGCAUGUACUUUAUGAAUAAGGAUCGGCUAACUCCGUGCCAGCAGCCGCGGUAAUACGGAGGAUCCGAGCGUUAUCCGGAUUUAUUGGGUUGAAAGGGAGCGUAGAUGGGUUGUUAAGUCAGUUGUGAAAGUUUGCGGCUCAACCGUAAAAUUGCAAUUGAUACUGGCAGUCGUGAGUACAGUAGAGGUAGGCGGAAUUCGUGGUGUAGCGGUGAAAUGCUUAGAUAUCACGAAGAACCCCGAUUGCGAAGGCAGCUUACUAAACUGUGACUGACAUUGAUGCUCGAAAGUGUGGGUAUCAAACAGGAUUAGAUACCCCAGUAGUC
rnacentral:rRNA from 1 species